AUUCACCCCUCUUUCUCAUCAUCAUCUCCUCGUUCUUCUCCUCUCCAUCACUACUUUCGAGGCGAGUCGAACGAAGGACUUAUUUAAACGUUGCAAUGGCAGAUAUGAAUCAGCAUCCAACUGUUUUCCAGAAGGCAGCUAACCAGCUGCACUUGCGCUCUAGUCUAUCCCAAGAUGUCCAUGCUCGCUAUGGGGGCGUUCAGCCUGCUAUUUACCAGAGGCAUUUUGCUUAUGGCAACUACUCCAAUGCUGGACUGCAGAGAGGCCAAGCCACUCAGGAUCUAUCAUUGAUCACCUCAAACGCCUCACCUGUGUUUGUGCAGGCUCCUCAAGAGAAAGGAUUUGCAGCUUUUGCCACUGACUUUCUCAUGGGUGGUGUUUCUGCUGCUGUAUCAAAGACCGCUGCUGCCCCUAUUGAGCGUGUGAAACUAUUGAUCCAAAAUCAAGAUGAGAUGCUCAAGGCUGGUAGGCUCUCAGAACCAUACAAGGGAAUUGGUGAUUGUUUCGGUAGGACAAUUAAGGAAGAAGGUUUUGGGUCUUUAUGGAGAGGAAACACUGCUAAUGUUAUCCGUUAUUUCCCCACUCAGGCCCUGAACUUUGCAUUCAAGGACUACUUCAAGAGACUCUUCAACUUCAAGAAGGACCGUGAUGGCUACUGGAAGUGGUUUGCUGGAAACCUUGCAUCAGGAGGUGCUGCUGGUGCUUCCUCUUUGUUCUUUGUCUACUCCUUGGACUAUGCUCGUACCCGUCUUGCUAAUGAUGCCAAGGCUUCAAAGAAGGGAGGUGAGAGGCAGUUCAAUGGUUUGGUUGAUGUCUACAGGAAGACACUCAAAUCUGAUGGAAUUGCUGGUCUAUACCGUGGAUUCAACAUUUCAUGUGUUGGUAUCAUUGUUUACCGUGGUUUGUACUUUGGAAUGUACGACUCCUUGAAGCCUGUCCUCUUGACAGGAAACCUGCAGGAUAGUUUCUUUGCUAGCU
rnacentral:misc_RNA from 1 species